AGUGAACGCUGGCGGCAGGCCUAAUACAUGCAAGUCGAACGGCAGCACAGUGGAGCUUGCUCCAUGGGUGGCGAGUGGCGGACGGGUGAGGAAUACAUGGGAAUCUGCCCAGUCGUGGGGGAUAACGUAUGGAAACGUACGCUAAUACCGCAUGCGCCCUUCGGGGGAAAGUCGGGGACCGCAAGGCCUGACGCGAUUGGAUGAGCCCAUGUUCGAUUAGCUAGUUGGCGGGGUAACGGCCCACCAAGGCGACGAUCGAUAGCUGGUCUGAGAGGAUGAUCAGCCACACUGGAACUGAGACACGGUCCAGACUCCUACGGGAGGCAGCAGUAGGGAAUAUUGGACAAUGGGCGCAAGCCUGAUCCAGCCAUGCCGCGUGAGUGAAGAAGGCCCUCGGGUUGUAAAGCUCUUUCAGCCGGGAAGAAAACGCAUGGGUUAAUACCCUGUGUGGAUGACGGUACCGGAAUAAGAAGCACCGGCUAACUACGUCG
rnacentral:rRNA from 1 species